rfam:Gossypium hirsutum cultivar TM-1 chromosome 8, whole genome shotgun sequence
AUUCUAUGAUGAAAGCAUCUUUGUAAUAAUUCUUUAAAUCUUUCCCACACCUCACACAAGGAUUCACCAUCCAUUUUUUGGAAGGUAAUGAUAUCAUUCCGCAACUU